rnacentral:rRNA from 1 species
UGGGGAGCAAACAGGAUUAGAUACCCUGGUAGUCCACGCCGUAAACGAUGUCUACUAGCCGUUGGGAGACUUGAUCUCUUAGUGGCGCAGCUAACGCAAUAAGUAGACCGCCUGGGGAGUACGGCCGCAAGGUUAAAACUCAAAUGAAUUGACGGGGGCCCGCACAAGCGGUGGAGCAUGUGGUUUAAUUCGACGCAACGCGAAGAACCUUACCUACUCUUGAAAUCCAGAGAAUUCGCUAGAGAUAGCUUAGUGCCUUCGGGAACUCUGUGACAGGUGCUGCAUGGCUGUCGUCAGCUCGUGUUGUGAAAUGUUGGGUUAAGUCCCGUAACGAGCGCAACCCUUGUCCUUAUUUGCCAGCACAUAAUGGUGGGAACUCUAAGGAGACUGCCGGUGACAAACCGGAGGAAGGUGGGGACGACGUCAAGUCAUCAUGGCCCUUACGAGUAGGGCUACACACGUGCUACAAUGGCCGGUACAGAGGGCUGCAACCCCGCGAGGGUGAGCUAAUCUCAGAAAACCGGUCGUAGUCCGGAUUGGAGUCUGCAACUCGACUCCAUGAAGUCGGAAUCGCUAGUAAUCGCGAAUCAGAAUGUCGCGGUGAAUACGUUCCCGGGCCUUGUACACACCGCCCGUCACACCAUGGGAGUGGAUUGCACCAGAAGUAGCUAGCUUAACCUUCGGGAGGGCGGUUACCACGGUGUGGUUCAUGACUGGGGUGAAGUCGUAACAAGGUAGCCCUAGGGGAACCUGGGGCUG